GCCAAACUCCUCACUUCAAGUGCUUACAUGAAGGGGAACUGGUCAGGUUUCGUCUGCGCUACACAUAAACUUAUAGCAUACCCUUUAGCAAAGUAAAUCGCCUCAUGAAAAACUUCUUGGUCAAUUUCAGUUUCCACCGUAGUCCAGAAGUUCCCAUCAGUUUGCAGCUCAAAAGUAGGGGCCUGGUCAUAGUUUCCGUAAUAGUAGGUUGCGCGAACAAGAACUUCUUCGUCCUUGGUUGCAUUGAUAGU
rnacentral:misc_RNA from 1 species